GAUUUCACGAAAAUCUUGUAGCGAAAAUCGCUGUUUGGUACCCCCCUACUAAUAAUAGGCUGAUAGAGUAGCUGAGAAACCUAGGUUUGGCUCCUUAGCCUUAGCUUAUUAGAGCAUUGCCUUAGAAAAAAGGGCAUUCUCAAAAGUCUACUAUGGAACCUAUUUUCCAAUAGCAGCUCCUGUUUCCAAUAGCAGCAAUAGCAGCUCUUGAGUGCAUUGAUUCCAGUAAGGGGUUGAUUCAUUAGCUUCGCUAGGCUCCUUACCUAUAUAAGUAAGGGAACUCUAUAGUUGACUCAGUAGC
rnacentral:misc_RNA from 1 species